rnacentral:rRNA from 1 species
AGCAGCCGCGGUAAUUCCAGCUCCAAUAGCGUAUAUUAAAGUUGUUGCAGUUAAAAAGCUCGUAGUUGAAUUUUGGAUCGGGCAGCGUGGUCCGCUCAAAUGGGCGAGUACUGCGGUUCGCACGGUCUCACCUUCUGGCGAGACGGUAUGCUCUUAAAUGGGUGUCUCGUGGAGCCAGGACGAUUACCUUGAAAAAUUAGAGUGCUCAAAGCAGGCUCAGGCUUGAAUAGAUUAGCAUGGAAUAAUGGAAUAGGACUCGUGGUUCUAUUUCGUUGGUUUCUAGGAUCGCGGUAAUGAUUAAUAGGGAUAGUUGGGGGCAUUAGUAUUCAAUUGUCAGAGGUGAAAUUCUUGGAUUUAUUGAAGACUAACUACU